rnacentral:lncRNA from 1 species
CGGGGCUUGAAUUCGAUUUUUGAAUUGAUGCAAUCGAUGUCAGAAACUUCAUCUUUCACCAGAAUUUAUGUGUUGUCAUUCCUUUCUGUUGUUGUGUUUCGUCAAUUCAAGUCUGGUGUUUUUGCAAUUUGCUGUGUUUUAGUGUUCCGUGUAUUCUUAUUUUCUUGUUAAUUUCAUUUAGAAAAAAAAUCUGAACUCUGAUUGGCUCCUGCCAUCACCGAUCAUCGGCAUCACUCAGCACUGAUCAAUUCGUUUGAUGAAUGACAUUCGAUCGCGAAAAUUCGCUUACCAUGCAACGUUUGAAUGAACGGCACCCACCUCACCCAUCAUCAGUAUCGAGAGUUACAGCUUGAUCGGCUGUCAGUGCGACAUUGAUGCUGUGAAGUGGAUGACGCCACGGGUGCAUCACACAAACGAGGAGCUCUAUCGUCAGUCGUCGCAAGACGGGAACAUCUGUCGGCCUUGGGAGCGACAAAAAGUAGACCGCAAGUAAUUAGUGUAGUGGCUUCCUCCCGUUACGUUGGACCCCGGAUCAAUCGAUUUCCCCGUGCCCCUGAUUUUUUCCCAGGGAAAAUGCAACCGAACGGACUCCAGUGUUUCGUCAUCGCCGCUGUCGUUGCUCUGUGUAAGGUAGCUUCGCCGAGCCCGACGAGGCUCUCGAUCCGCGGCCUGUUCGACUCCUUCCUGCCGACCCCGACGACUAGCCCGCCGCCGGCGGCGGCGGCUCCAGCUGUGGCUGUGGUGGCCGCAGCCCCGGUUAAUAACGCAUCCGCCACCCUCUCGACCUCGCCCUCGACGCCAUCGCUCUUCUCCUCCAUGUCCGGGUGGUUCGCGCCGGUGGUGGCAGCGGUGAGCCCGGAGGAGCUGGCGCGGCGCCGGGAGGAGGCGCUGCGGGCCCAGCGCGAGGAGGAGAAGCGGCGCAAGAUCGAGGAGAUCCGCCGCGUCGUCCUCAAGAUCCCGGGCGUGGAGCUCGCCGACCAGCUCACCCGCAAGACCGCCUCCGCCAUCGGACUCGGCCUCGGCUACAGCACCGCCCGCGCCCAGGCCCUCGUCAACGACUUCUACAACCGCCUCCGCGCCAAAGGCCAGCCCGCACCCGCCCCCUAG